UCAGUCAAGUGUCCACCUUACUAAUAUGUGAAAAUCUCAAGUGUGGCAUACAGCUUCUGAAUAUUAGCAACUUUCUGGUUUAGCAGUGACACUGAUGUUAAUACAUUGAGCUUAAAUAUGGGAAUAAAGAAAAAUUAUUAUACUCCAAAAAGGGUGUGUGAUUUUAAAUGCGUAACUAAUAUUUUAUAAUAUUGCUCUAUGAAGCAUAGAUCACAACCUCAAAAUUAGAAUUCAGACACAGCAGUAAGAUUUCUAACAAUCCCUAUGAGGUCCAAAAACAAAAUUGGAAUCUGCCUUUCUUUUCCUAGGCUUUUUCAUUCCAUCCUACUGCUUUCUACAUCUGUGUGCGAAGAGAUCAUGCCUGCCAAGAACACACUCAGAAUUCCUCUGCUAACAGAUACUUGUAAAAAUAAAACUUCUUUAAAGGCAUGAAGAGAUGAAACAGCACGUUCUAAAGGCUGUGAAGAUCUCGACAUGGUUUUCAUUUGUCUGGGGCCCUGGCAGCCGUGUGACUUGUGCUUGAAUGUCUCAGAUCCUGGAUGCACAGACAGCUCUCAGUUCCAAGGCUGAUGAAGAACAAUUUACAUGAUUUCAUCUACGGCUUUUUAGUGCUACUUCGGGAAUAUAGAAAGUUCACUGAUAUGAGUAUGUAACAAUAUAAGUGUCUUCAGCAAUUGUUUAUGAGAGUCACAUAAAAGUGCUUCACUUGAAGGGUGUUGUAAAUUAUUGAAUCUAUUUAUACAGAGAGAUAAAUUGUGACUACCAAAAAUAAAACUCUGUGGUAAUGCAGAAAAAGACAUGUUUAAAAGUCUAAGCGAAUGUGCCUUUAUUAGAGGUCUUCAAUAUCAGGUGUGAUUCCAACCUUGGAUUUUACAGGUCUACAUAAUUUUAUUUUCUAAGUGUUGAGGAGCUAACUCAGUGUGGUUGAAAACAUUAAUGUACAUUUUGUGAUAGUGGUUCCUUCCUGGAAAGUCAUAAAACCCAAAGUGUUUCUCUUGA